CGGUGGUCGGUGCUCUCUUGUGAGCCGAGCCGGUACCACCGUAACCAGCGGCGCGGCAGUCAGCUGACGAUAUUCAAGGGGAGGAGUCCACCUUCGGUCCUCCUUCCUGAUCACAGACCAUUUGUGUCUUGUCAUCUUUGACACUUCACCUAAUCUCAACUGAUAGCCUGCAGAUUUGCUCCAGUAUGCCACGAGUGGUUAAGGUUGGGGUGCUGACUGUGAGUGACCGCUGCUCCCGCGGUGAAGCUCAGGAUGAAGGUGGGGCCAACCUCAAGGCCCUGGUGGAUGGCGGCAUGCUCUUCAAGGGGAAGGUGUGCAAGUACUCUUGUGUCUCCGAUGACCUUGCACUGAUUGAGGAGAAGCUAAGGGAGUGGUGUGAGGAAGAGGUGCAUCUCAUCCUCACCACAGGAGGGACGGGAUUUGCUGAACGAGAUGUGACUCCUGAAGCUGUCAAGAAAGUGAUAGAAAAGGAGGCCCCAGGGCUCACCACAUGCAUGCUGACAGAGUCCCUGAAGGUCACCCCACUGGCCAUGCUGUCGCGGCCUGUGUGUGGCAUGAGGGGAAAGACCCUCAUAGCCACUCUUCCGGGAAGCAGGAAAGGUUCAGAGGAGUGUCUUAGAUUUAUUUCUCCAGCCAUUCCACAUGCAGUGAGCCUCAUUAUGGGCUGGAAGGAUGAGGUGGAGGCCACACACAAUGUGCUUCAGUCUGAAGGUGUGAAGUGUGGAACUACUGGGGGCCACCAUCACCAUCACCACCAUCCUUGUGGUCACCACCACCACCAUCACCACCACCAUCACCACCAAGAAAAUGGAGAGUCGAAGGCUGACGUUUCGCAUGUGUCUCGCCGCCCCAGGAAAUCUCCUUACCCAAUGAUUUCAGUUUCCCAAGCUGUGGAGACUGUUCUUUCACAAGCAGAGCAGUGCAUGACGGAAAAUCUCUCCAUUAAAAAUGCCCUAGGAUUUGUUCUGGCUGAAGACAUUCAUGCAAAAGAUCCACUGCCUCCAUUUCCUGCUUCAAUAAAGGAUGGGUAUGCAGUCCUGGCUGCUGAUGGAACUGGGCUGCGGGUGGUGAGGGGUGAUUCAACUGCAGGAUGUAGUCCUGAGAUGAAGACAGUGACCAGUGGCGUGUGUGUGCGGGUGAGCACUGGUGCCCCUGUUCCUCCUGGAGCUGACGCUGUGGUGCAGGUGGAGGACACAGAGCUAACCAAAGAGGCUGAGGAUGGCUGCACUGAAUUAGAGAUUAAGAUCCUGAAGACUCCUCAUGCUGGACAAGACAUUCGGCCACUUGGGUGUGACAUCAGAGUUGGGGAGAAGAUCCUGUCCCAAGGCACUCUUCUAGGACCAUCUGAGAUGGGACUCCUGGCCACUGUUGGUGUCACCAAUGUUUUGGUUGUCAGAAAACCUGUGGUGGCAGUCCUUUCAACUGGUAAUGAGCUGCAGGAGCCAGGUGAGACUCUUCGAGAAGGUCACAUUAGAGACAGCAAUAAGACCACCAUUAUGUCCCUUCUGCAGCAGCAUAGCUACCCUGUGCUUGAUGCUGGAAUUGCACGGGACCAGCCCACAGCGCUGCUUAAGAGUCUAAGGAGUGCCUUUAGCCAUGCUGAUAUUCUGGUUACCUCUGGGGGAGUGUCCAUGGGGGAGAGGGAUGUAUUAAGGCCUGUGCUCCUCUCUGACUUUGAAGCCCAGAUUCACUUUGCUCAGGUGUUCAUGAAGCCAGGAAAGCCCACCACCUUUGCCACCUGUUACUAUCAUAACAAGAAGAAAUUGAUCCUUGGUCUUCCUGGCAACCCUGUCUCUGCUGCUGUCACUUCUGUCCUUUACCUCCUGCCUCUUUGUCGCACAAUGAGCGGGAGGGCAGUGUGUGAGAACAUUUGCAUCAAAGCUAAGCUGGCUGAAACCAUGCAACUGGAUCCACGGCCGGAGUACCACAGAGCUUUUCUGUCGUGGCGGCCAGGAGGAGAAGUCCCACUUGCCUACUCAACAGGCAAUCAACUUUCCUCUCGCCUCCUCUCCAUGGCUUCAGCUCAAGCCUUGCUUAAGCUGCCUCCUGCUAGCUCAGAAAACAAGAGUUUGGUUGAGGGAUCAACAGUGGAAGUCAUCCUUCUGGGAAUGUAGACCAGUGCUUCUGGUUAUUAAGAUGUUGCUUUGUGGAGGACCACUUGUUGCCGCCAGACCACAUGUGAUUCCUGUGCUAAUAGCCUCCACUGGGUGGAAAGAAACCCCUAAGGGAGAGAGACGAAAGGUACUACGAACACAAGUGAUUGGUCAACUAAUAAACAUCAACGCUAAAGAGAAAAAGACUAUGCAGCACCAAGGUCAUCGGAUAUUUCUCUUCAUUGCUGCUCGUAGGAGGGAGUCAAAAUCUAAUGGGUCGGCUUGUCUAGCAAUUAGUCCCCCAUCGUAGGAUUCAGCAGGCUCGGCAUCUGGUGGAAGAUAAAAUAUAUUGUAGUGACUAAUGGCAUCAGGUAGUAAGGGUGACUAAAAUUCCUGUCCAAUGUGGAACACACUUUUAAUGGUUGACCUCUUUUAUGGAUAUGGUCUAAUUCAUAAUCCAAUAACAAUUCUUCCACAGUACUGGAUCUGGUAUGUACCCAUGUUCCUUAUGGUGUGACGAGUUUGUGGAUAUUGCCAAAGGUGAAAUUACAGUACAAAAAUGUUCUAUGCACAUAUGCAUUUUGAGGUGGUGUUUGGCUGUUGUGUGAAAUUCGAAUGUGGCCUAGUGACAGAUACAGGCAAGGUAACCAUGGCGGGGAAAUGACAAUCCACACGCUCCACAUAAACAAGUCAAGCAAUACAAUCUGAACAUAUUCAUUGUCACUAUCUUGGCAGGAUCUGCGUGACUGUACAAUCUGAACAUAUUCAUUGUCACUAUCUUGGCAGGAUCUGCGUGACUGACAAGCAAUCAGCUGAUUUGCUGCUAGCCUUGCUUCUUCUCCCUGCCUGGGCAGGCAAUGCAUGGUGCCACACAGCCUCUUAAUUUUCUUUGUCGUUUAUUAGAUCCAUGCUAUCAUUGUGUAAUGUUUAUUGCUAAAUCACCUGUAUGUUGCUAUCACUUGUCUUAUCAUGGGAUAUUGUAAACCUCCAAAACUUGUAGAAAUCAUGAGUGAAUAAUUCACAAUUUCACUAAUGCACAUCCAGGUCUACACAUCAUGCCAUGGUUACCUGCCUGGCCUGGCCAUUGUAUCCAUCGCCAGGCCACACUCAAAUUUCACACCAUGGCUAAACAAUGCCUCAAAAUGCGCACAUACAUAGAACAUUUUCGGCUUAGAUGAUCCUGUACUUUCAACUCUGGCAAUGUCUACAGAAACUCAUGUUACACCUUGUAGUCUUGAUCAUAUUGUUCAUUCCACCAUUUGCUCUGCAAGAUUAUUAUUCUUCUUUUCUCUCUCUCCUGAAGAGAAGGAUCGACUAUACUGGCUCUUCUCUGGUAGUUUACUUGAUGAUCCCCAGAAAUGAAGUGGAUACAGUGGAUGGAUGCAUAACACACGGGUGAAUGUUUUAAGGAAUAAGAGUUUAAAUAUGGAGUGAUCAGGUAUUUAUGGAAGCCACUAAUAACUCACUCUAUGAACCAUGUAGUAAUGAGUGAUGUACAGAAGUAGCACUCUGAGGUGGUAUUAGAUAAAACACCUUUGAAGAAUGUUUGUAAUGGUAAUUUGGGCAUGUAGAGAGAAUAGAAGAAAAACAAGAAAACUGGAUUGGAUAUUUACAGAUGCAAGGCUAAGGGUAUGAGCAAAAAAACAGGAUAAAUAGCAUAACACAUGUCACAUUAAUUAAUUAAUGGAUACCUGUGGGGCAAAGAACUGUUGUAAAUGACAGAGGAAAAUGGUGAUCUAGUAGGAUGCCUUGUCUGAUCAAAUGUAGGAAAAUGAAUAGAUGCAUCAAGGUGCUUUGAUGUGGUAAGACCCAAGUAAUCUUGCUGAAGUGUUUUCAAUGAGUAUCUGUGUUGUUUCUUCCUGCAAGAAGCCAAGGAAAUAAAUGGAUUCCAAUUUAUUUUUUGAGAAUGUGUCCCUGAUGCCCCACCUUCACUAGGAUGACAAAUUGAGCCUUCUUCCUAUAGUUGGGGGAGAUGAGAUUGAUUAUACAAUCUGUGGCUAGGUUGGAAGAUAAAAUCUGUGGCUGGACUUGAAGAAUAUGAACACUGCACUUAACUUUGUUGUCCCCUCCAAGAGUAUUUAUUGAUUAGAAGAUACAAUACACUUUUCUAUGAAAAUAUUGAUAUGUAUGUUCCAAUUGCCUGACUUGUAUACUGAUACCCACAGGAAAAGUAUGCCCAGUUUGUCAAGGGGGAUAUAACAAGGGGGGAUGUAAGCAAAAUUCUUAGGAUCAGCAACCAGGGUAGAACACGAAAUAACGGGUUCAAGCUUAAAAAAUUUAGGUUUAGAAAGGUAGGACAGGAAGAAAUUGGUUCUCAAAUAGAGUGGUAGAUGAGUGGAACAGACUCAGUAAUCAUGCUGUUAGUGCUAGAACAUUAGGGAGCUUUAAGAGAAGAUUAGACAGAUUUAUGGAUGGGGAUGAUAGGUGGAAAUAGGUAGGUAUAUUUCAUACAGGGACUGCCACGUGUAAGCCUGGUUGCUUCUUGCAGCUUCCCUUAUUUCUUAUGUUCUUAUGUUUGUAUUGCUUUUAAGCUGUCACUAACAAAAGCUAUUGCUUAUAUAGUAUCAUUGUAUGAGGCUGUGGGUGACAAGACUAUAUUAUAAACUGGUACAUUACUAAGUAAUUCCAAGUUUGUCUAUCUGCAUAGUAACUUAACACUACUGGAAGUAUUCCUCUUCUUAGCCAACUCACAUACAACAAUCUUUCCUUGAAGCUUUACAGUUUCAGCAAUAUGCCACCCCCUCUGUAAUUAUCAUUCAUAGCCUUACCCAGGUCAGAGUAGGACACCUUGCAGAAGGCUCGUCGGCCCCCAAAGCAGAGGUCGUAAUGAGGAAGUUUUGGAUCGUCGUUUCCAUGUUCAACUGCACAGUAUGCUUCAUCCCGGUUUUUGUAUGUGACAAAGCCAUAGUUGUCUCUACGGGUGCAAAAAACACUUGAUAAAUCUAUAGGAAUGCCAGUAAACAAUAAGACCACUAUUGCUGUUUCCAGCUGUUGCUUACAAAAGUGAAUGGAAAGAUUGCUGAAAAGUUUUAAUAUGGUCAAAUAUAUCCCAUACACAUACACUUUAAGAAAUCAGUCAUAUUAAAAGCCUAAUUAUGAGAGAGAGAGAGAGAGAGAGAGAGAGAGAGAGAGAGAGAGAGAGAGAGAGAGAGAGAGAGAGAGAGAGAGAGAGAGAGAGAGAGAGAGAGAGAGAGAGAGAGUAAAAACAGCACCCUAGAAAGUGCAUGAUGCAACAAUCUGAGACUGGGUGUAAAUCCUUUUCUGGGGCUGGCAUCUCAGGGUUUUUUUUUUUUUUAUGUAUUAGAUUUUUGUUGCCCUUAGCCAGUGUUCCUUCUACAUAAAAACA